rnacentral:lncRNA from 1 species
GUUCGCCAAAGGUCUCCUCAACCCCAGUUCAGUGAUAUAAUUUUGGUUUCUGAAGAGUGUUGACAUUUAUGGAUCGUCUGGUUGGAGAACUAAAGAAAUUUCUGGCAAGUGGAUACCACAUUGACAAGGUGCUCAUCAGCUGGUACAAUGGACCUUUAUCUCAGAGUUUAAAUUUAUUUGCAAGUGAUCUGAAAAGUCCAAGGUUAAGAUGCAAGACUGGCUAGAAGGAUAAGCAGUGGGAACAACGGCACAGGAGAUGUCCUUAUGGGUCCCCAACACUUUCUCUUUUGCCCUUUGGCAG